UACGUAGGUGGCAAGCGUUGUCCGGAAUUAUUGGGCGUAAAGGGCGCGUAGGCGGUUCUUUAAGUCAGAUGUGAAAUCCCGAGGCUCAACUUCGGGCGUGCAUUUGAAACUGGGGGACUAGAGUGCAGGAGAGGUAAGUGGAAUUCCUAGUGUAGCGGUGAAAUGCGUAGAUAUUAGGAGGAACACCAGUGGCGAAGGCGACUUACUGGACUGUAACUGACGCUGAGGCGCGAAAGCGUGGGGAGCAAACAGG
rnacentral:rRNA from 2 species